rnacentral:rRNA from 1 species
AAUUUUGGACAAUGGGGGCAACCCUGAUCCAGCCAUCCCGCGUGUACGAUGAAGGCCUUCGGGUGGUAAAGCACUUUUGGCAGGGAAGAAACAGCCGGGGCGAAUACCCUGGGCGACUGACGGCACCUGCAGAAUAAGCUCCGGCCAACUACGUGCCAGUAGCCGCGGUAAUACGUAGGGUGCAAGCGUUAAUCGGAAUUACUGGGCGUAAAGCGUGCGCAGGCGGUUCGGAAAGAAAGGUGUGAAAUCCCAGGGCUUAACCUUGGAACUGCACUUUUAACUGCCGGGCUAGAGUACGUCAGAGGGGGGUAGAAUGCCACGUGUAGCAGUGAAAUGCGUAGAGAUGUGGAGGAAUACCGAUGGCGAAGGCAGCCCCCUGGGAUGAUACUGACGCUCAUGCACGAAAGCGUGGGGAGCAAACAGG